rnacentral:rRNA from 1 species
AUUGUACGCUGGCGGCAGGCCUAACACAUGCAAGUCGAACGGCAGCGGGGGAUAGCUUGCUAUCCUGCCGGCGAGUGGCGGACGGGUGAGUAAUGCAUGGGGAGCUGCCCAGUCGAGGGGGAUAACAACUGGAAACGGUUGCUAAUACCGCAUACGCCCUGAGGGGGAAAGGUGGGGAACUUCGGUCCUACCGCGAUUGGAUGCGCCCAUGUGGGAUUAGCUAGUUGGUGAGGUAACGGCUCACCAAGGCGACGAUACCUAGCUGGUCUGAGAGGAUGACCCGCCACACUGGAACUGAGACACGAUCCAGACUCCUACGGAAGGCAGCAGUGGGGAAUAUUGCACAAUGGGGGAAACCCUGAUGCAGCCAUGCCGCGUGUGUGAAGAAGGCCUUCGGGUUGUAAAGCACUUUCAGUCAGGAGGAAGGGGUGAUGGCUAAUAUCCAUCAUCAUUGACGUUACUGACAGAAGGAGCACCGGCUAACUCCGUGCCAGCCGCCGCCGUAA